CAGUAACGGCGAGUGAAGCGGCAACAGCUCAAAUUUGAAAUCUGGCUCCUUCGGGGUCCGAAUUGUAAUUUGUAGAGAGUGCUUCGGGCGAGACCUCGGUCUAAGUCCAUUGGAACAUGGUGUCAUAGAGGGUGAGAAUCCCGUAUGCGACCGUGGCUCGAGCCCAUGUGAAGCCUCUUCGACGAGUCGAGUUGUUUGGGAAUGCAGCUCAAAACGGGUGGUAAAUUUCAUCUAAAGCUAAAUACUGGCUGGAGACCGAUAGCGCACAAGUAGAGUGAUCGAAAGAUGAAAAGCACUUUGGAAAGAGAGUCAAACAGUACGUGAAAUUGUUGAAAGGGAAGCGCUUGCAACCAGACCUGCCCGUAGGCGAUCAGCCGCUGUUCUCAGCGGUGUACUCGCUCUGCGAUCAGGCCAGCAUCGGUUUCGGCGGUCGGAUAAAGGCCUUGGGAAUGUAGCUUCCCUUCGGGGGAGUCUUAUAGCCCUCAGUGUAAUGCGGCCAGCUGGGACCGAGGACCGCGCUUCGGCUAGGAUGCUGGCGUAAUGGUUGUAAGCGACCCGUCUUGAAACACGGACCAAGGAGUCUAACAUCUAUGCGAGUGUUUGGGUGUCAAACCCAUACGCGGAAUGAAAGUGAACGGAGGUGAGAACCCUUAAGGGCGCAUCAUCGACCGAUCCAGAUGUCUUCGGAUGGAUUUGAGUAUGAGCAUAGCUGUUGGGACCCGAAAGAUGGUGAACUAUGCCUGAAUAGGGUGAAGCCAGAGGAAACUCUGGUGGAGGCUCGCAGCGGUUCUGACGUGCAAAUCGAUCGUCAAAUUUGGGUAUAGGGGCGAAAGACUAAUC
rnacentral:rRNA from 1 species